ACCUGAGAACACAGACGCACGUACACACACAGAUCUGCUGUUAGUCAAACUGCAGGACGUGCAAUGGAUCAUGAUGGUGGUGUGUGCAAAGCUGUGCUUACCAUUUGGCGUAUAGUACUUAUAGUACUUCAGAAGAGAAAAUCUCCAUAACUCGUCUGCAACCAAGAGCGAGUGUAAUUUCUCUUUAUUUCUAUGAUCUCUGAAGAAACGUGUUCUAUGCAAUUCAUUUUAUAUAUAUAUAUAUUAUAUGUAUAUAUAUAAAAUACAGACACCGCUAUAAUCACAACAUACCACAGCAACAAUUAACACAACAGCACUGAGGGUUCUAUUUUUCACUUUAACAAUGAUGCAAAUUGUGAUGAACUCAAAUAAAAUUGAAGCUAAUGUGUGAAUCCGACUGUAACGAUCAUCAUGUGACCUGACAGUAAAACACCCAACUUCCUGCUCACUUAGAGAAAAUUAAGAUAAUCAUCAAGUGUUCUUGAACACACUGGUGGUUUUAGAUGGUUUAGCCCAUUAACGGAAAAUUAUAAAUUCUUCUUCUUCUAAGUAACACUGUCCUUAACUGCAUUACAGUGUGAUGAAUUUAUCUCCAUGUAACAUAUGAUCACACCAUAACAUGACAACAUGCUAUGUGUUCACUUUGAUGGAUUAUCUAUGCCAACCAAAUUUCAAGCCUUACAAACAUGUAGAUUUCCCAACCAACAACUGCCUAAAAUUGUGGUCCGUUGAAAUGUAAGGUUGAGCUAAAACAUGAAGAAUAGCCAAAUGCCCUGAACAUACAGUAAUGUUUGUGGUUUGCAGGUCCUAACAUUAUCAUAAACAAUGAAUGUACAAAUCAA